UACGUAGGGUGCAAGCGUUGUCCGGAAUUAUUGGGCGUAAAGAGCUCGUAGGCGGUCUGUCGCGUCGGCUGUGAAAACCCGGAGCUCAACUCCGGGCCUGCAGUCGAUACGGGCAGACUGGAGUUCGGCAGGGGAGACUGGAAUUCCUGGUGUAGCGGUGAAAUGCGCAGAUAUCAGGAAGAACACCCGUGGCGAAGGCGGUUCUCUGGGACGGUACUGACGCUGAGACGCGAAAGCGUGGGGAGCGAACAGG
rnacentral:rRNA from 1 species